UCGAGCGGACAGAUGGGAGCUUGCUCCCUGAUGUUAGCGGCGGACGGGUGAGUAACACGUGGGUAACCUGCCUGUAAGACUGGGAUAACUCCGGGAAACCGGGGCUAAUACCGGAUGGUUGUUUGAACCGCAUGGUUCAGACAUAAAAGGUGGCUUCGGCUACCACUUACAGAUGGACCCGCGGCGCAUUAGCUAGUUGGUGAGGUAACGGCUCACCAAGGCAACGAUGCGUAGCCGACCUGAGAGGGUGAUCGGCCACACUGGGACUGAGACACGGCCCAGACUCCUACGGGAGGCAGCAGUAGGGAAUCUUCCGCAAUGGACGAAAGUCUGACGGAGCAACGCCGCGUGAGUGAUGAAGGUUUUCGGAUCGUAAAGCUCUGUUGUUAGGGAAGAACAAGUGCCGUUCAAAUAGGGCGGCACCUUGACGGUACCUAACCAGAAAGCCACGGCUAACUACGUGCCAGCAGCCGCGGUAAUACGUAGGUGGCAAGCGUUGUCCGGAAUUAUUGGGCGUAAAGGGCUCGCAGGCGGUUUCUUAAGUCUGAUGUGAAAGCCCCCGGCUCAACCGGGGAGGGUCAUUGGAAACUGGGGAACUUGAGUGCAGAAGAGGAGAGUGGAAUUCCACGUGUAGCGGUGAAAUGCGUAGAGAUGUGGAGGAACACCAGUGGCGAAGGCGACUCUCUGGUCUGUAACUGACGCUGAGGAGCGAAAGCGUGGGGAGCGAACAGGAUUAGAUACCCUGGUAGUCCACGCCGUAAACGAUGAGUGCUAAGUGUUAGGGGUUUCCGCCCCUUAGUGCUGCAGCUAACGCAUUAAGCACUCCGCCUGGGGAGUACGGUCGCAAGACUGAACUCAAGGAAUUGACGGGGGCCCGCACAAGCGGU
rnacentral:rRNA from 1 species